GACGUAGGGCGCGAGCGUUGUCCGGAUUUAUUGGGCGUAAAGAGCUCGUAGGCGGUUCGGUAAGUCAGGUGUGAAACCUCCAGGCUCAACCUGGAGACGCCACCUGAUACUGCUGUGACUCGAGUCCGGUAGGGGAGCGUGGAAUUCCUGGUGUAGCGGUGAAAUGCGCAGAUAUCAGGAGGAACACCAGCGGCGAAGGCGGCGCUCUGGGCCGGAACUGACGCUGAGGAGCGAAAGCGUGGGUAGCAAACAGG
rnacentral:rRNA from 1 species